UGCAGGCGAAAAAUAAUCGUAAAAAAUGGUGUUAGCGUUAAUCCAAGCGAUAUAUGUAUAUCUUGAAACUAAGAAUCCAAAUUGAGUGCUGGCUAUUACAAUACGUUAUCGCAAUUUGUAUACUAAGAAUUUUGUUCCAAAGGUUUUUUUUUUUUGUUUAUAAAACACAAAAUUAGCUUGACUAAUUUUUUUUUUUUUUUGUUAUUUAUAUUGCUAGCCAAAGAUGCUUUCUGCAUUUCUUCAACCGCAGAGUCGUACUAUACAAUCCAACCACAUUACAAAAAUAACUUUUUAUUUUCAAUGGGAAAGUAUUACUUGAGAAUAGUUAUAAAACAGACUGCUUAAAUCUGUCAGCUGAAAACGCUUGUGCCAGAACAUUACUCAAUAUCAAUCGCGUAUUCAUAUUCCUAGUACUGCACCAAAAUCCUUUUAUAAAAGCAAUCGCUAUACUUAAAUAGUUUAAUGCAUUUGUCAAAAUAAUGGCUGGUGAAUUUAGGCAAUAGAUGAAUUGCAUGUAAAUCUCAAAAAAAAAAGGUUAAACUAUCCAUCAAGUAAGAAUCAUUUAG